rnacentral:lncRNA from 1 species
AGCGGGCCGUCUGAGGCGGGCGGCGUCCGCGCUGCUGCUCCGGAGCCCGCGCCUGCCCGCCCGGGAGUUGUCGGCUCCUGCCAGGCUCUACCACAAGAAGGUUGUGGAUCAUUAUGAAAACCCUAGGAACGUGGGGUCCCUUGACAAGACAUCUAAAAAUGUUGGAACCGGACUGGUGGGGGCUCCGGCAUGUGGUGACGUCAUGAAACUGCAGGUGGCCUCAUUCUCCACAACACCACCACACCAAGGCAUCGGUAGAUCUUGCUUUCACCGAGUGAAAGACUUUGUGACUGUUCUGACCAAAUGAAGGCCCCCAGUGAGAAAAGGAAUGUGUUAACCAAACCUCUCCAGGAAAAGGAAGCGGGGUGGAAGGUGGUGGGCUG